rnacentral:rRNA from 1 species
UCGGGAAUUUUGGGCAAUGGGCGCAAGCCUGAUCCAGCCAUGCCGCGUGCAGGAUGACGGUCCUAUGGAUUGUAAACUGCUUUUUGUACAGGAAGAAACAGUUCUACGUGUAGAACCUUGACGGUACUGUAAGAAUAAGGAUCGGCUAACUCCGUGCCAGCAGCCGCGGUAAUACGGAGGAUCCAAGCGUUAUCCGGAAUCAUUGGGUUUAAAGGGUCCGUAGGCGGUUAGAUAAGUCAGUGGUGAAAGCCCAUCGCUCAACGGUGGAACGGCCAUUGAUACUGUCUGACUUGAAUUAUUAGGAAGUAACUAGAAUAUGUAGUGUAGCGGUGAAAUGCUUAGAGAUUACAUGGAAUACCAAUUGCGAAGGCAGGUUACUACUAAUGGAUUGACGCUGAUGGACGAAAGCGUGGGUAGCGAACAGGAUUAGAUACCCCCGUAGUCCCUGAGCGGGCUGGCAAGGCGCAU